GAUUUCUGGUGUGAUUGUCUCAGCCUAGUAGCGGUUACGUUAUUGCGUGUUGAGAUUCGAUCUACCAUCGUUUGCCUUGUUCCGGCUUGAUUCACUUCGAGUCGGAUCUCAACAAGGUGAUCUUUUACUUUGAAAAAAUUAGAGUGUUUAAAGCAGGCUUUUGCUAUGAAUACAUUAGCAUGGAAUAAUAAUUUAGGACUUUUGUUCUAUUUUGUUGGUUUCUAGAAUGACAGUAAUGAUUGAUAGGGAUAGUUGGGGGUGCUAGUAUUGCGUGGCCAGAGGUGAAAUUCUUGGAUUCACGCAAGACUAACUUAUGCGAAAGCAUU
rnacentral:rRNA from 1 species